rnacentral:rRNA from 1 species
CCUACGGGAGGCAGCAGUGGGGAAUAUUGGACAAUGGGCGAAAGCCUGAUCCAGCAACGCCGCGUGAGGGAUGACGGCCUUCGGGUUGUAAACCUCUUUCAGUACCGACGAAGCGCCUUUAACGGUGGUGACGGUAGGUACAGAAGAAGGACCGGCCAACUACGUGCCAGCAGCCGCGGUAAUACGUAGGGUCCGAGCGUUGUCCGGAAUUAUUGGGCGUAAAGGGCUCGUAGGCGGUCUGUUGCGUCGGGAGUGAAAUCUUACAGCUUAACUGUGAACUUGCUUUCGAUACGGGCAGACUUGAGGCAUUCAGGGGAGAACGGAAUUCCUGGUGUAGCGGUGAAAUGCGCAGAUAUCAGGAGGAACACCGGUGGCGAAGGCGGUUCUCUGGGAAUGUACUGACGCUGAGGAGCGAAAGUGUGGGGAGCGAACAGGAUUAGAUACCCUGGUAGUCCACACCGUAAACGUUGGGCGCUAGGUGUGGGGCCUAUUCCAUGGUCGUCGCGCNGCACGCAUAGUCGCCCGCCGUCGGGAGGUACGGCCGCGACGGACGUAAACGUUAAACGUAGAAGUUAGACGGUCGUGAGACGUUGUCCGACGGACGACGACGAGGGAGGAGG